GACGAACGCUGGCGGCGUGCUUAACACAUGCAAGUCGAACGGAAAGGCCCUGCUUUUGUGGGGCGCUCGAGUGGCGAACGGGUGAGUAACACGUGAGUAACCUGCACUUGACUUUGGGAUAACUUCAGGAAACUGGGGCUCAUACCGGAUAGGAGCUCCUGCUGCAUGGUGGGGGAUGGUAAGUUUCGGCGGUUGGGGCUGGACUCGGGGGUUCCGAGCCUGAUGGUGGGGUAGUGGCUUACCAAGGCUUUGAGGGGUAGCCGGCCUUGGAGGGGGGCCGGCCACAUGGGGACUGAGGGAGGGCCCAGAAGCGUACGGUAGGCAACAGGGGGAAGUAUGGCAGAAUAGGGGGAAGCGUGAGACGACAACGCCGGGAGCGUGAUAACGGCCUUCGGGGGGUAAACCGCUGUCGCCUGAGACAAAGCGGUAGUGACGGUAAUGGAUAAAGAAGCACCGGCUAACUACGUG
rnacentral:rRNA from 1 species